GCUGGCGGCGUGCCUAACACAUGCAAGUCGCACGAGAAAGGGGAGCAAUCCCUGAGUAAAGUGGCGCACGGGUGAGUAACACGUGAAUUAUCUACCUCCGAGUGGGGAAUAACCUAGAGAAAUCUGGGCUAAUACCGCAUAACACUCACGGGUCAAAGCAGCAAUGCGUUUGGAGAGGAGUUCGCGGCAGAUUAGUUAGUUGGCAGGGUAAUGGCCUACCAAGACGAUGAUCUGUAUCCGGCCUGAGAGGGCGCACGGACACACUGGAACUGAAACACGGUCCAGACUCCUACGGGAGGCAGCAGUGGGGAAUUUUGCGCAAUGGGGGAAACCCUGACGCAGCAA
rnacentral:rRNA from 1 species